GGAUUAGAUACCCUGGUAGUCCACGCAGUAAACGAUGAGUGCUAGUCGCUGGUGCAAUAGCAUCAGUGUCGAAGCUAACGCAUUAAGCACUCCGCCUGGGAAGUACGGUCGCAAGAUUAAAACUCAAAUAAAUUGACGGGGGCCCGCACAAGCGGUGGAGCAUGUGGUUUAAUUCGAAGCAACGCGAAGAACCUUACCAGACCUUGACAUGGUAUGUUUGAAUUACAGAAUCGUAAUUCUUCAGUUCGGCUGGCAUACACACAGGUGCUGCAUGGCUGUCGUCAGCUCGUGUCG
rnacentral:rRNA from 1 species